AUUGAACGCUGGCGGCAUGCCUUACACAUGCGAGUCGAACGGCAGCACGGGUGCUUGCCCCUGGUGGCGAGUGGCGAACGGGUGAGUAAUACAUCGGAACAUGUCCUGUAGUGGGGGAUAGCCCGGCGAAAGCCGGAUUAAUACCGCAUACGAUCCACGGAUGAAAGCGGGGGACCUUCGGGCCUCGCGCUAUAGGGUUGGCCGAUGGCUGAUUAGCUAGUUGGUGGGGUAAAGGCCUACCAAGGCGACGAUCAGUAGCUGGUCUGAGAGGACGACCAGCCACACUGGGACUGAGACACGGCCCAGACUCCUACGGGAGGCAGCAGUGGGGAAUUUUGGACAAUGGGCGAAAGCCUGAUCCAGCAAUGCCGCGUGUGUGAAGAAGGACUUCGGGUUGUAAAGCACUUUUGUCCGGAAAGAAAUCCUUGACUCUAAUACAGUCGGGGGAUGACGGUACCGGAAGAAUAAGCACCGGCUAACUACGUG
rnacentral:rRNA from 1 species